UACAGAGGGUGCAAGCGUUGUUCGGAAUUACUGGGCGUAAAGGGCUCGUAGGCGGCCAACUAAGUCGGACGUGAAAUCCCUCAGCUUAACUGGGGAACUGCGUCCGAUACUGGAUGGCUUGGAUUUGGGAGAGGGAUGCGGAAUUCCAGGUGUAGCGGUGAAAUGCGUAAAUAUCUGGAGGAACACCGGUGGCGAAGGCGGCAUCCUGGACCAAUAUUGACGCUGAGGAGCGAAAGCCAGGGGAGCAAACGGG
rnacentral:rRNA from 1 species